AUUGAACGCUGGCGGCAUGCUUUACACAUGCAAGUCGAACGGUAACAGGUUAAGCUGACGAGUGGCGAACGGGUGAGUAAUGCAUCGGAACGUGCCCGGUCGUGGGGGAUAACGCAGCGCAAGCUGCGCUAAUACCGCAUACGAUCUGAGGAUGAAAGCGGGGGACCGUAAGGCCUCGCGCGAUCGGAGCGGCCGAUGUCAGAUUAGGUAGUUGGUGGGGGAAAGGCUCACCAAGCCGACGAUCUGUAGCGUGUCUGAGAGGACGACCAGCCACACUGGGACUGAGACACGGCCAAGACUCCUCCGGGAGGCAGCAGUGGGGAAUUUUGGACAAUGGGCGAAAGCCUGAUCCAGCAAUGCCGCGUGCAGGAAGAAGGCCUUCGGGUUGUAAACUGCUUUUGUACGGAGCGAAAAAGCUCUCUCUAAUACAGGGGGCUCAUGACGGUACCGUAAGAAUAAGCACCGGCUAACUACGUGCCAGCCGCCGCCGUAA
rnacentral:rRNA from 1 species